GCAUUCGUGGUGUAGCGGUCAGCACGCUGAGCGCGUUUUCCAAAGGUCCGUGGUUCGAGUCCCGGCGAAGGCU
rfam:Stegodyphus mimosarum contig83433, whole genome shotgun sequence.